rnacentral:rRNA from 1 species
UACGAAGGGGGCUAGCGUUGCUCGGAAUGACUGGGCGUAAAGGGCGCGUAGGCGGAUGGUACAGUCAGAUGUGAAAUUCCCGGGCUUAACCUGGGGGCUGCAUUUGAUACGUGCGAUCUGGAGUGAGGAAGAGGGUCGUGGAAUUCCCAGUGUAGAGGUGAAAUUCGUAGAUAUUGGGAAGAACACCGGUGGCGAAGGCGGCGAGCUGGUCCAUUACUGACGCUGAGGCGCGACAGCGUGGGGAGCAAACAGG